rnacentral:rRNA from 1 species
CCAGACUCCUACGGGAGGCAGCAGUGGGGAAUAUUGCACAAUGGGGGGAACCCUGAUGCAGCGACGCCGCGUGAGUGAAGAAGUCUUUCGUGAUGUAAAGCCCUAUCAGCAGGGAAGAAAAUGACGGUACCUGACUAAGAAGCCCCGGCUAACUACGUGCCAGCAGCCGCGGUAAUACGUAGGGGGCAAGCGUUAUCCGGAUUUACUGGGUGUAAAGGGAGCGUAGACGGCGGUGCAAGCCAGAUGUGAAAGCCCGGGGCCCAACCGCGGGACUGCAUUUGAAACUGUGUGGCUGGAGUGCGGGAGAGGCAGGCGGAAUUCCUAGUGUAGCGGUGAAAUGCGUAGAUAUCAGGAGGAACACCGGCGGCGAAGGCGGCCUGCUGGACCGUAACUGACGUUGAGGCUCGAAAGCGUGGGGAGCAAACAGGAUUAGAUACCCUAGUA